GGGAUAGCCUUUGGAAACGAAGAAUAAUACCCUAUAAAACCAUAAAAGCACAUGCAAUUAUGGUCAAAGUGAUAGCGGUGUAAGAUGGACUUGCGUCUGAUUAGCUAGUUGGUGAGAUAAAAGACCCACCCAAGGCAACGAUCAGUAGCCGGCUUGAGAGAGUGUACGGCCACAUUGGGACUGAGACACGGCCCAG
rnacentral:rRNA from 1 species